rnacentral:rRNA from 1 species
UACGGGGGGGGCAAGCGUUGUUCGGAAUUACUGGGCGUAAAGGGCUCGUAGGCGGCCAACUAAGUCGGACGUGAAAUCCCCGGGCUUAACCUGGGAACUGCAUUUGUGACUGGCGGGCUAGAGUAUGGCAGAGGGGGGUAGAAUUCCACGUGUAGCAGUGAAAUGCGUAGAGAUGUGGAGGAAUACCGAUGGCGAAGGCAGCCCCCUGGGCCAAUACUGACGCUCAUGCACGAAAGCGUGGGGAGCAAACAGG